rnacentral:misc_RNA from 1 species
GAUGAAGAACGCAGCGAAAUGCGAUAAGUAGUGUGAAUUGCAGAAUUCCGUGAAUCAUCGAAUCUUUGAACGCUCAUUGCGCCCGCCAGUAUUCUGGCGGGCAUGCCUGUCCGAGCGUCAUUUCAACCAUCAAGCCCCCGGGCUUGUGUUGGGGACCUGCGGCUGCCCGCAGGCCCUGAAAACCAGUGGCGGGCUCGCUGUCACACCGAGCGUAGUAGCAAUCACCUCGCUCAGGGCGUGCUGCGGGUUCCGGCCGUUAAACAGCCUUACAAAACCCAAGGUUGACCUCGGAUCAGGUAGGAAGACCCGCUGAACUUAAGCAUAUCAAUAAGCGGAGGA